AACGAACGCUGGCGGCAUGCCUAACACAUGCAAGUCGAACGAGCCCUUCGGGUCUAGUGGCGUACGGGUGCGUAACGCGUGGGAACCUGCCCCUAGGUUCGGACUAACUCCCCGAAAGGGGUGCUAAUACCGGAUAAUGUCUUCUGACCAAAGAUUUAUUGCCUUUGGAGGGACCCGCGUGGGAUUAGCUAUUCGGGAGGGUAAAAGCCUACAAAGGCCUCGAUCCAUAACUGGUCUGAGUGGAGGGUCAGCAACACUGCGACUGGGACACGGCCCAGACUCCUACGGGAGGCAGCAGGGGGGACGAUGGGACACUGGGCGAAAGACUGAUCCAGCAGUGCCGCGUGAGUGAUGAAGGAGUUAGGAUUGUAAAGCUCUUUUACCCGGGAUGAUAAUGACAGUACCGGGAGAAUAGGCUCCGGCUACCUCCGU
rnacentral:rRNA from 1 species